UAUAACAUGUGUUUUUGUUUGAGAUGCCAAGCCUAUUCAUUGCCUUCUUUCUCUUCCCACUUCCUUGACAGGAUACAAUCUCAUGGACAUGGCAAGGGCCGGGAGCCUUUAAGAUUCUAUGGCUCACAUUAUGUCAGCUACAUAACUCCAUAGAAAUAGAGUAUCUUCCUACAUACACCCCGUCAGAGGAGGAGAAGAAGGAUCCAGCCCUGUUCGCCAAAAAUGUGAGACGUAUCAUGGCCAAGGCACUUGGGUUGCGCAUUAUCGAUUACUCCUUUGAGGACUGCCAGCUUGCUAUGGCCAAAGGCCCUCUGCGAUUGCCCAAACACACCUGUUUGCUGGAGUUUGCCAGACUGGUACGACAUUUA